GGGCAGAGAGAGAGGGAGACACAGAAUCGGAAGCAGGCUCCAGGCUGUGAGCCAUCAGCCCAGAGCCCGAUAUGCGGGGCUCAAACUCACGAACCAGGAGAUCAUGACCUGAGCCAAAGUCGGACACUUACCAACUGAGCCACCCAGGCGCCUCAAAAUGACACCUUUCUUAAAGAAGGAAAACAAUUUGAAAGACAGCAGAUUUCUCAUCAGACGUCAUGGAGUCAUGGAGGCACAACAGUUUUCAAAUUAAAGAAAACUGUUCAACCCAGCAUUUCCCCAUCUAGGUAGAUUUUAGCAGCAGUGAGCCACAGAUCCCAGUUGGCCACACAAUCAUGAGGGUAAACAACCAAUACACUUAGAACCAUUCUGUUUUUCAUUUUCAGUACAGUAAUCAACAAAAUAUGAGAUAUUCAGCACUUUGUUAUAAAAUGGGCUUGUUAGAUGAUUUUGCCCAACUGGAGGCUAAUGUGAGUGUUCUGAGCAUGUUUAAGGUAGGCUGGGCUGAGCUAUGAUGUUUAGUCAUUUAAGUGUAUGAAAUGCAUUUUUGCCUUAUGAUGUUUUCAUAAGUUUCAAAGUUUGGAUGACUCCCCCUCCCCCAAGCUGUCACACAACUCUUUUGUGGCGAAAUGUCAGAAGUAGAGAAAAAAAUAUAUAUAGACUCCCUUUGGAUCCUAUGGGCCUCUCUUCUUGGUUCUGUUGACACUACUGUAGUGGCAAUGCAGCCUCAUGACCAGUACUGGUGUUGGGGCAAAGUCAGUAGAGAAAAAAGAAGAUAAGGGGGGAAGGAAGAAGGGAAAUUUCACACCCCCUCCCAUUCAGGAGCCUCUUUUUCUAGCUCUCUGGCUAGAAAUAAGUGAUUUCUUUCAUAGCUUUUGCUGUUUGCACCAAUUGCACAGUUCUGGGAAAAUCCCUCCUUCCAGUCAUAGCCAAGAGAUAAAGAAGAAAAAUACCCCAGUAAACAUACCUCCGUAUUGUUCACUCUUAAGUUAUAUUAAAUGCAAUUGAUUAUUUUUUUUAA